rnacentral:tRNA from 1 species
GACCCGGUGGCCCAAUGGUUAAGCACUCAGCUGCUAACUGAAAGGCUGGUGGUUCCAAUCCACCUAGCGGCU